GCUGGGCUUGGGGGUGUACCCUUGUAAUCUCAGCUACUUAGGAGUCUAAGGCAGGAGUAUUGCUUGAGCCCAGGAAUUGAAGGCCAAUCUGGGCAACCUAUAGCUAGACCCUGUCUCAA
rnacentral:sRNA from 1 species